rnacentral:rRNA from 1 species
CCUACGGGAGGCAGCAGUGAGGAAUAUUGGUCAAUGGGCGGGAGCCUGAACCAGCCAAGUCGCGUGAGGGAAGACGGUCCUAUGGAUUGUAAACCUCUUUAGGCGGGGAGCAAUGCCGGGCACGCGUGCCCGGAGGGAGAGUACCCGCAGAAUAAGCAUCGGCUAACUCCGUGCCAGCAGCCGCGGUAAUACGGAGGAUGCGAGCGUUAUCCGGAUUUAUUGGGUUUAAGGGGUGCGCAGGCGGAUUUUUAAGUCAGGGGGAAAAUGGCCGGGCUCAACCCGGGCCGGCUGGUGAAACUGGGGAUCUUGAGUGGGCGAGAAGUAUGCGGAAUGCGUGGUGUAGCGGUGAAAUGCAUAGAUAUCACGAAGAACUCCGAUUGCGAAGGCAGCAUACCGGCGCCCGACUGACGCUGAGGCACGAAAGCGUGGGGAUCGAACAGGAUUAGAUACCCCAGUAGUC